GACGAACGCUGGCGGCGCGCUUAACACAUGCAAGUCGAACGGAAAGGCCUGCUUUCCCUUGUGGAUUGCGGGUACUCGAGUGGCGAACGGGUGAGUAACACGUGAGUGAUCUGCCCCCAACUUGGGUAUAAGCCUGGGAAACUGGGUCUAAUUCCCGAUAGGACUGCAGGGUGGUGCCCGUGGUGGAAAACGAUUUUCUAGUGGUUGGGGAUGAGCUCGCGGCCUAUCAGCUUGUUGGUGGGGUAAUGGCCUACCAAGGCGGCGACGGGUAGCCGGCCUGAGAGGGUGGACGGCCACAUUGGGACUGAGAUACGGCCCAGACUCCUACGGGAGGCAGCAGUGGGGAAUAUUGCACAAUGGGCGGAAGCCUGAUGCAGCGACGCCGCGUGGGGGAUGACGGCCUUCGGGUUGUAAACUCCUUUCGACCGCGAGGAAGCCACCUGGUUGGAAGGGUGGUGACGGUAGUGGUAGAAGAAGCACCGGCUAACUACGUG
rnacentral:rRNA from 1 species